rnacentral:snRNA from 1 species
GCUUGCUCUGGCAACGAGCAUCCGCGAAUUGGAGCGAUACGGAGACGAGGAGCAUGGUCCCCGCGCGAGGAUGACAGGCACAUUCGUACACGUUCCGUAUGAAA